UGGGCUGUGGCUCAGUGGUAGAGCAAGUGCUUAGCACGUUCCAGGCCCUGGGUUCCAUACCCACCAGUCAAA
rfam:Ictidomys tridecemlineatus contig091115, whole genome shotgun sequence.